AGAGAGAGACAUGCGCGCAUAUCAAUAAGCGGAGGAAAAGAAACUAACAAGGAUUCCCCUAGUAACGGCGAGUGAAGCGGGAAGAGCUCAAAUUUGAAAUCUUAAAGGGUUUCCCUUUACGAAUUGUAGUUUAAAGAAGUGGUUUCUGUUGAGGUUUUGGUAAAAGUUCUUUGGAAUAGGACAUCAUAGAGGGUGAGAAUCCCGUAUUUGACCUUUACUUUCAACUUUGUGAUACACUUUCAAAGAGUCGGAUUGUUUGGGAAUGCAGUCCAAAAUGGGUGGUAAAUUUCAUCUGAAGCUAAAUAUUGGCGAGAGACCGAUAGCGAACAAGUACCGUGAGGGAAAGAUGAAAAGAACUUUGAAAAGAGAGUUAAACAGUACGUGAAAUUGUCAAAAGGGAAGCGUUUGACACCAGUGUUGUUUUUCUGAAAAUCAAUUAAAGAACUGUUUAUGCUAAGCUGUUUAGACUUUAUCAGCUAACUGUUUAGUUUUGAGCUUUUCUUUAAUGCACUUUUCAGUUAACAAGUCAACAUUAAUUUCUUUUGCUGUAAAAAAGCUUGAGGAAGGUGGCUUGAGAUUCGUCUUAAGUGUUUAUAGCCUCUUGCCUAUGCAGUCGGAGAGAUUGAGGUCUGCAGCGUAGAUCCUUCGGGGCUAAAUGCAUUUGUGCCUAAGUUAUAGCAUUUUAUAGACAACUUGUUGACUAUGAUUUGUCUUGUAGCUUACUCGCUUAUGUUAUUUUACCUACGCUUAGGAUGUUGAGCGCAUGUCUCUCUCU
rnacentral:rRNA from 1 species